rnacentral:rRNA from 1 species
CCUACGGGAGGCAGCAGUGGGGAAUAUUGGACAAUGGGGGGAACCCUGAUCCAGCCAUGCCGCGUGUGUGAAGAAGGCCCUCGGGUUGUAAAGCACUUUCAGUGAGGAAGAACGCCUGGUGGUUAAUACCCAUCAGGAAAGACAUCACUCACAGAAGAAGCACCGGCUAACUCCGUGCCAGCAGCCGCGGUAAUACGGAGGGUGCGAGCGUUAAUCGGAAUUACUGGGCGUAAAGCGCGCGUAGGUGGCUUGAUAAGCCGGUUGUGAAAGCCCCGGGCUCAACCUGGGAACGGCAUCCGGAACUGUCAAGCUAGAGUUCAGGAGAGGAAGGUAGAAUUCCCGGUGUAGCGGUGAAAUGCGUAGAGAUCGGGAGGAAUACCAGUGGCGAAGGCGGCCUUCUGGACUGACACUGACACUGAGGUGCGAAAGCGUGGGUAGCAAACAGGAUUAGAUACCCUAGUAGUC